rnacentral:rRNA from 1 species
ACUCUCAACAACGGAUAUCUUGGCUCUCGCAACGAUGAAGAACGCAGCGAAAUGCGAUACGUAGUGUGAAUUGCAGAAUUCCGUGAAUCAUCGAAUCUUUGAACGCACAUUGCCGGUCGAGACCCCGGUCGAGACCACACCUGCCUCAGCGUCGGAAU